GGAAAGGUUCAGCGACUGGGCAGCAUCAUGAACAUUCAAACACACGCUUUGGCUUCAUGACAUGCUGUGGAUGAUGAGAAGAGCAACUCAGCAACUGUUUUUGACAUUUUUCCACCAAAUCCUUUCUUUGCCCUUGACUGGAAGAUUCGGCACAAAGGCCAAACAACAGGAGUGAAAUGCAAUCAGCUUCAUUGAGCGGCUCAUUCGGCCCCAGCCAGACUGGAAUAAUACCGGACCGGAGACCGACACGGAUCUUUCAAAUCACUAUCCUGAGUCUCUCCCUGCAAUAAAGGUUACAAAGAAAAGUAAAGCCAGCUGAGUCACCGGAUCCUGAGGAUUAUUCGGCAGUGCCGUCAUAUUCAGCGAACCUCAGUGAUUCACUUACAUCCCAUCAGCCCAAUCCGUCCUGCGGGUUUCACCCAUUCACUGACGCUGCAGCCCUUCAACCCACAUCACUGCUCAUAAAACAUCACAGCAGGUAAGAAGGGAAACCCUGCAUCAUCUGGACCAGGAAUAGAAGCGUAAAUGGACGGAAAAUGGGUUGUGUUACAUCAGAAGGACAUCACAAGAUGAUGUAAUUCUUUCCCUUUUUUCUCUGAAUGUUUAAAUCCAUGGGAUAUAAGAGCUCCGUAGAGUCCAUGGUUGAUGGAUGAUGCCUGGUUCGUCAACAAUGCUCAUAUGCUCAAGUGUUUAGUAACCUUUUAAUGCAUUUGUAAGAUAUUUAACUUUUUUUAUUCUGUUUUUCUCACAGGAGACUGGUAGCAAUGGAUUUGAGGACUGAUAUAGAUCAAACACAUGGGGCUGAAACAGGAAGUUCUGCCGCCACACUGAGAGAAAACAAA